rnacentral:lncRNA from 1 species
UGUGUUUUCGUUGUCAGAUGAAGUGAGUGAAAUUCAAGAUUAGGAUGAGGCAAGCAAUGAUAAUCAUAGAAACUAUAAAGCAUGUACUGGUAGAAAGAUUAUGUGAAGAAGAAGAAAGAGACAUAAUUGGCAAGAUUUCUCAUUCCUUUACUUCUUAAAGUAAUAAUUUAUAAGACUUAUCAAAUCAAUACUAUUUGCGAAAUGAUUUUUCUUAUUCUAACUCUUACGUUAAAAGUUGGAGUGAUUAAAUUCUUUAAUACCCUUAAUGAAUAUGUAGAUUUGCUAAUAUAUAAUUAAAAAGAGUUAGUGAGUUAUCAUUCAUAAUUAAUUACAUUCAUAUAAUCUAUAUGAAAAGAAAUUGAUUUUAACAAUGUUAUCUGUAUAAAUAAAACGCACAAGAGAGGGUGUUGGCCAUGGAAGAAACGGAAAGCCCAUGAACUACAUCAACAACAUCACUCAAAUUUUAUUUUCUGUAGGUUGACUUUAAUAUUGUUCACUGGUUAUUUUGAUGAAUUAUUCUGAGGAAGAUGAAGUCUUUAAUGAUUGUCUGCGGUUGAGUUGAAUCUCGAUGUUUAUGAAGACUAAACAUUUUUGUAUUUUGAUUUAUAAAUUUUUUUAUUUAUUAUAUAAAUAAUAUAAUAACGCCCAAAAAGAUAAAUCUGUAGGAUAUUAAUCAAGUAAGAAGUAUGUGAUUUUGACAAUUAUUAUCUUGAAAAUAGUAUGUAUUGUGUGAUUAUCCAAAAAUAUUUUCCAUC